rnacentral:rRNA from 1 species
AACGAACGCUGGCGGCAUGCCUAACACAUGCAAGUCGAACGAGACCUUCGGGUCUAGUGGCGCACGGGUGCGUAACGCGUGGGAACCUGCCCUUAGGUUCGGAAUAACUCCCCGAAAGGGGUGCUAAUACCGGAUAAUGUCUUCGGACCAAAGAUUUAUCGCCUUUGGAUGGGCCCGCGUUGGAUUAGCUAGUUGGUAGGGUAAAAGCCUACCACGGCGACGAUCCAUAGCUGGUCGGAGAGGAUGAUCAGCCACACUGGGACUGGGACACGGCCCAGACUCCUACGGGAGGCAGCAGUGGGGAAUAUUGGACAAUGGGCGAAAGCCUGAUCCAGCAAUGCCGCGUGAGUGAUGAAGUCCUUAGGGUUGUAAAGCUCUUUUACCCGGGAUGAUAAUGACAGUACCGGGAGAAUAAGCUCCGGCUAACUCCGUG